UGCACUUUAUUUCUGUGUCGUGGUUUGUAAACCAGACGGAGUUAUAGUCGUUUGUACCCAGAGCUUAUUUUCAAACCUCUGAUCAGGACAGGUCAGAAUGAAACCUUGGUUACUUGUGAUCCUCUCCCUAGUCUCCGGAACACGUUGUAUUCAAGGCGCCUCCCUGGAUGAGAAGUGUCAGGAUGACAGCGAAUGUGCAGUUCCAAACACAGUGUGCAAGCCUGAUCACUGUUUGGUAUCCACCUGUCAGUGUAACAUGGGAUACAGGCCGAACGCUCAAACAAUGCAAUUUGACAAAGUAGUUUGCAGUAGUACAACAUUUAAUCCACCCUCGACUUCGACAAGCAAAUCAGCGUCAUCCACCACGUCCACACGGUCUACGUUGUCAUCGGCUUCCACAGUUCACCCCAGGAAUACAGCCAGUGA